rnacentral:lncRNA from 1 species
UUUAAAUGCCUAUUCAGUUUUUCCAGGAACAUGAUUUAAAAAAAAAAGACAAAGUAGGCACAUAAUUACAAAAAAAAGAGGCAGACUAUAAAUUUCCUUUUAGUAAAAAGAAUAGAGAUGUGAGGAAUCUCCAGUAGCUGUUCAGAGUCAUUUAUCUGCUAAUUGUUUUUACUUUUACAGAUCAUUGAGAAUACGAAAGUCAAGACCUAAAAAGAAAGAGGA